GACGAACGCUGGCGGCGUGCUUAACACAUGCAAGUCGAACGGAAAGGCCCUGCUUUUGUGGGGUGCUCGAGUGGCGAACGGGUGAGUAACACGUGAGUAACCUGCCCUUGACUUUGGGAUAACUUCAGGAAACUGGGGCUAAUACCGGAUAGGAGCUCCUGCUGCAUGGUGGGGGUUGGAAAGUUUCGGCGGUUGGGGAUGGACUCGCGGCUUAUCAGCUUGUUGGUGGGGUAGUGGCUUACCAAGGCUUUGACGGGUAGCCGGCCUGAGAGGGUGACCGGCCGUAGGGGGAGGGGGGACCGCGCCCGAGGCGGAGGGCAGGGAGGUGUGGGAUAGAGGGCAGGGGGGGAGGGAGCCGGGGGACGCACGGCGGGGGGCGGGAGGACGGGCGUGGGGUGGGAGACGGCCGUCGCGGGUGAGGAGGGGUGGGUGACGGUGAGGGGAAAAGGAGGACCGGUUAACUACGUGACAGCGGCCGUGGUAAUAAGGAGAGGAGCACAUGUGGGACC
rnacentral:rRNA from 1 species